UGUAUGUUGGAGAAGCGCGUGAAGUAGAGAGAAAGAAACGCACGUAUAAAAUUAUUGAUAAAAAAGGAGAGAAGUGAGGAUAAAGUGUGGGAAGUGAGUGCCGUAUGUUGGGAUAUCGCUGAGUGAACCGCGGACAUUGACGGAGCUGGAUAAAUGUUUACUUACUCUGGAAACUCCGAGGGACUCUACCAGAUGACCUGAAUAAAAAUCAUGCUCUCUGUCUGGCCUCCUUGAAUACUAUCUGAAGAGGGUGUGGCAUUGUGCUACUGAUGGCGCAGCUGCCUUUCAGAGUUCAAGGAACAUCACCUGGUAAGC